rnacentral:lncRNA from 1 species
UAAUGUUUGUUGAUAUUACGUGGGGUCAUCAUUGCUGUCAGUUGAUAAUUAGAGAUAUAACGCAACUAAAUUCAAAUCACCCGCCGCGCGGGAGCCAAUCCCUUCAAACCAAAACCACGCGUGCGGGACCACGUUCAGCGCGAUAAAAAAAAAUGUACCGGCGUGGGGAAUCGAAGGUGGUGCCGUGAUAAGUUCGUUCCGCGCUUGUAUAUUUGCGGUGUUUAUUGAUAUUAUGUGUGCCAAUCAUCGUUGUCAGUCGUCGACUGGAAGUGUAUCGCGUGUGGGAUGGAAUGGGCGGCUAAAGGUGUGUCAAGAUUUUGUGUUGGUGUUCUGUGGUGUGUCGUCGUAGCCUCAACGGGCUCGUCGCUUUGUCUGCGCGCUCAGCGCUGCGUGAUCGGCGUGCUUUCCACGUUUCUUGAUUACUCACGGUUAUUGCGUGGUUCAGUCGAGUGCAUCUACUCAGAUAGUCCACCGCCCAGUGCCCUGUCUGACGACGACGGCGACUGUAAAGCACAAGCGUGCGUCUCAGCGGAUGCCUAGGUAAGGCAGCCCGGGUGGCGUGUUCACACAGCAGUGAUGAUGUACGAGAAAAGUUGUCUGAUAGGCAAGUAUGGAUUCUGCUACAGAAUGGCCCACGAACCCAACUUCCAAGCGGCAUGCCUACCGGCCGAACAUCGCCUGUGCGCAGCUUGAUCUGCCUACCAUGCGUCGGCCUUGGUCAUCAUCUCACCGGCCUCGCCUUUCAUCUCUACCACCUGGAAAGCCGGCGUGGCCGACGGAGAAUGUAAAAUGAAUGCAGAUGUACAGCUCGGAGCGAAAAACAGUUCACCGAGCCGCUCGCAAGCAAGUGCAGCCUCGUUCUCGUUUUCUUCAUCU